GAUGAACGCUGGCGGCGUGCCUAAUACAUGCAAGUCGAGCGAACAGAUGAGGAGCUUGCUCCUCUGACGUUAGCGGCGGACGGGUGAGUAACACGUGGAUAACCUACCUAUAAGACUGGGAUAACUACGGGAAACCGGAGCUAAUACCGGAUAAUAUAUUGAACCGCAUGGUUCAAUAGUGAAAGACGGUUUUGCUGUCACUUAUAGAUGGAUCCGCGCCGCAUUAGCUAGUUGGUAAGGUAACGGCUUACCAAGGCAACGAUGCGUAGCCGACCUGAGAGGGUGAUCGGCCACACUGGAACUGAGACACGGUCCAGACUCCUACGGGAGGCAGCAGUAGGGAAUCUUCCGCAAUGGGCGAAAGCCUGACGGAGCAACGCCGCGUGAGUGAUGAAGGUCUUCGGAUCGUAAAACUCUGUUAUUAGGGAAGAACAAAUGUGUAAGUAACUAUGCACGUCUUGACGAUACCUAAUCAGAAAGCCACGGCUAACUACGUG
rnacentral:rRNA from 1 species